GAUGAAGAACGUAGCGAAAUGCGAUAAGUAAUGUGAAUUGCAGAAUUCAGUGAAUCAUCGAAUCUUUGAACGCACAUUGCGCCCCCUGGUAUUCCGGGGGGCAUGCCUGUUCGAGCGUCAUUUCACCACUCAAGCCUCGCUUGGUAUUGGGCAACGCGGUCCGCCGCGUGCCUCAAAUCGACCGGCUGGGUCUUCUGUCCCCUAAGCGUUGUGGAAACUAUUCGCUAAAGGGUGUUCGGGAGGCUACGCCGUAAAACAACCCCAUUUCUAAGGUUGACCUCGGAUCAGGUAGGGAUACCCGCUGAACUUAAGCAUAUAAUAAGCGGAGGA
rnacentral:misc_RNA from 1 species